rfam:Astyanax mexicanus Tnplaced_Scaffold4648, whole genome shotgun sequence.
ACAACGGCUCUUUUAAGAGCCACCCACAGUUUCGUUUCAAAGAGCU